AGUCAUGAUGAUGUUUGAAACAUCAUCAUGAUGGUUUUGUUUUGUAGAAGAAAAGAAAGGAACAAACGGCAAAGAAGAAAAGAAAGAAGGAAUAAAGAAGAAAAGAAUAAAAAAAUAAACAAAAGAUUGAAGAAAGGCAUAAAAGCAAGAAAAGAAGAAUAAGAAGAAGUGGAUGGUGCACUGGCGGGGGGAGACUGACAGAAAAGAAAAGAAUAAGCAGAAACCUAGUGGGGGAAGCUUAGCUGCCCUUGCAGCCUUGAAAAACGAAAAGCAGAAAAUAAAAGGGAAGUCAGUACGGGACAGCAAAGGCAGGUGGGAGAAGAAAGGCUGCCCUUGGCAGCGUGAUAAAGGCAGGAGGGCAGGCUGUCGAGGGGGGAGCGGAAAAGAGACGGAAGAAAAAUAAAGAAGCAGCUGAGCUGAGCUGCCUUGCGGUGUGGAGACUGGGAGGAGAAAAGAGAAAAGCAGCAAGGCUGCCAGAAGGAAAGGAGAAGAUGCGGGGAGAGAGUAGCAUGUGAAAAGAAGAGGACAGGGCGCCAGGGAGCAUGUGAGAGGACAGCAGUGGGCUGUCUUGGCAGCCCAGAGGAGUGACUCGGAAGGAGAAAACGUGAGCUGGAGAAGGGGUCAGGAGGAGAGAAUAAAAGGAGAAGAGAAGUGGGAGGCUGCUUUGAGGGGGAAUUGGUGGAAGGCAGAGGGCUGCCCUUUGGGCAGCGUGAAGCUGCGGAGAGAAGGGAAGGGGGAAGCUGCCCUUUGGCAGCGAGGUCAGAUAGCGCAGGAAAACAGAGAGGUCAGGAGGUCAGCUCGCAGAGGCAGGAGAGGAGAUAGACACGGGGAGAAGGGAGACUGACGGGCACAGUGAGAAGAAAAUUAGAGGCUUCACUCCAUUUCUCUCGGUUUAAUUUUUCCAAACUUCUCAUUUAUUUCUGUUUUUAAUAAUGUGUAAUUAAAUUUAUGUUGGUUAGAGGUUAAUUCGAAACCAUGAUUAUAUUUGUAAUAUGAAUUGAUUACCUUCAGUUGUGAGUUAUAAGUUGUGAAUUCAAUUUACUUAUCCGUUCGUAUAAAAACUGAUUUGUGUAUGUUGGUUGAGAGUGCACGCUUAAUUUACAUGCAUGAAUUUGAUGCUAGAAUAUAAGUGAAUUUCACCUAAUCGUUAUGAACUUAUUUUCACAAGUAGUAAAGGUUGCUAGUCACAAUCACGUUAAAGUAAAUUCUCUUGGCAAGAGUAUCAUGCUUUUCAUAGUUACGAAUGCCUCGUCAAUGCUUAUAGUUUUUUCACAAAGUUUAAUGAUCUUUGAUUGUAUCUCUAUUGUGCUUUUCACGUAGGGGACUUUUGAAGAAUGUUUUGAAUUGUUGUAUGCGUUUUCCCCGUCCAAUUCAAUAACUUAAGGAAAACUUGAAGAUUAAAAAAGUGCUGUUCACGGUUAAUCUGGAGUAUUGAAAUUCACAAAUUUAUUAAAUGAACAACUGGAAAUCAUUUUGUAUGCAAGUAUAACAUGUGUGGAGAAGAACCCUCUAGCUAGUCCGUCAUUUAUCCUUCCACCUUAAUUUCAUGUUUUUGUCAAUUCUGUAAUUUAAUUAAGUUUAAUUUACUUUCAUCAUCAAAACCAAACACCCAUCCAUUAUUAAAUUAUAUUAUUUAUUUAGUUUUCUUUAUUGUUAGUCUUUUUAAUUUAAUUUCCGUCCAUUUCAGUUCCUAGUGUUUAAUUUAAUUGUUUUCAUUAUUUUGAGUCAUUUUAAGUGUGUUUCGAGUUAUUAGAGUUUUUAGCCUAGUUUUGUGUCCUUGAGUCUUAUUUAAUAUUUUUAAGUUAAUUUAAUAGAUUAGCAAUCCCUCCUAAUCCCCGGCCUAGAACGAUACCCUACUUACAUCUAUACUACAAUUGUCAAAAAGAGGGUUUAAUUUUGUGUGUUAACUUAUUUUUCACAUCAAAUUUUGGCGCCGUUGCCGGGGAUUAGUAACUUUUUACUUUGCUAAUCCUUUUAUUUUUGUUUUUGUUAUGUUUAUAUUGGUGUUUGUGUAUUUUACUUUUGAUAUUUGAUUUAUUUUUCUUUCUUUGAUUUUAGGUUCAAAUGGAGCCGAGGGAAAUUUAAAGGAAAGAUGCGUCCGGCUAAAGACGUUAAAUCAAGCGCUUCUUGGGAGGCAACCCAAGCAUUCAACGAAGGGAGACUUUGGAAUCGCUAACUCAAUCAGAUUUGCAUUUUUACACCCUUAUCUUUACUGCUUUCAUUUUGUUUUGUUUAGUUAGUUGUGUUAUUUGUUUGAUUUCUGUGAGUUUGUGUUAUUUAGUUUAAGUAUGGGGGAAGGUUAACCAAAGUCUUUCUACUUUAAUUUACAUAAAAAAUAAAAAAAAAAUAAAAAAAUGAUAUAAUAAAUAAAAAAAAAAAAAAGACAAAAUUUAAAAUUAAUGAUAAAAAAAAUAAAAAAAUAAAAAAUUACAUAAAAAAAAUAAAAAUAAAAAUAAAAAAUUUUAAAAAAAAAUUAAAAAAAAAUUUAAAAAAAAAAAAAAAAAAAAAAAAGUACAAAUAUUUUACAAUGAUGUAAACUAAUAGUAUUCAUUGGUCGGGUGGUGCUUCAGUAGUAGGCGGGGCUUCAGCAGUCGGCGGGGCCACGGAAGGAGGAGGCGGCAGAGGUUGAUCAGUUGGAGCUUCACUACGCGGUGCCGCUCCAGAAGACGAAGGCAGAUGUUGUUGGAACAAACCCACAAACCUCCGAUGAUCAAGUAAAAUUUGACCAUCGGUGUCCUGCAUCUGGUCAAUCUUCCUCUUCAUGCUGGUGGCAUAGCUGUGUGCGAGCUUGUGCAAUUCCUUAUUCUCAUGCUUGAGCCCUUUAAUCUCUUGCUUGAGACUCUGUAUUUCAGCCACCAAGGAUUCAACGUGACGGGUUCGGGCAUAUAGGCGUUGGGCCAUGUUGGAUACGGAACCCGCACACUGCACGCUAAGAGCCAGAGACUCCUUAACCGCCAAUUCAUCAGAUCGUCUAGCGAGCAGUCUGUUAUCUCUUGGGGUGACAAGGUUCCGGGCCACCACCGCAGCUGUCAUAUCAUUUUUUAUCACCGAAUCCCCCACGGUAAGGGGACCGGUAGGGGAUAUGAAGGAUGGCCGCCAUAUGUUGUCUGGUGAAGGCAGAGCUGCCUCUUCACCAAUGUUCAAGUCAAAACGACGAUCAGAAGGGCCAGACAUUUUUCAGAGGUGGUAAAGAAAGAAGAGAGUCGGACUGAUCAAGAUUAAACAAGUGCAAGAAGGGAGUGUUUACAGGAGGGAGCUCAAGUGUGUUGUGGAACAAAAUUAGCGCCUCUAUAAAAAGAAGAAAUCAGAGAGGCGCUCCUCAGAAAUUGAAGAGGCGUCCUCUCGCAAAUCGAAGAGUCGGGGCUCCUUUCUCAAAAGCCGGAUUCUUUUCUCAAAAGAGGAGUUUCCGUUCUCAAAAGCCGGAUUCUUUUCUCAAAAGAGGCGUUCAUUUCUUAAAAGUUGGGCUUGCUCAGAAACCACGAGCCGAACCCCGAAUUUCGCAAGAUCAAUUCGUCUAGACGUGUUGUCACCCGUCACACGCAAACUCAGCUCUGCGAAAAUCACGGGCAGUCUGUCGAAGUGCCGAUUCCAACCAUCUGUCUCUCUCUGCCUAGUCAGCAUUUGUCACAUGCAACUGGCAGCUUUGCGGAAAUUACGGGCAGCUUUGUCUGAAAGCGCGUAAUUUGUACUAUUCAUCCAUCCACCGGCUGCCGACAAUGAGUGAGAGAACAGUUCCGGUUGUGAAGACAAGUCCUAUAAGUUUCUACCUUCGCCUUCCACAGCAAAAGCACACUCUCUCAGCACACCCUUUCAACACUUCUUCAUAUCCGAAAAUGCAUUCCCAAAGAAUCCUCUCGAGUCACUCUGUGUUCCUCAUUCCUUGGGAUACUCCUGUGAACAACCCAUUCAAAGCAAAAGUAUUUCAUAUCAUAAAGGUUGAAAGCAAGAGUAUCUCAUAUCAUGCUUUCUCCAUGUCCUUCUCCUUGUCUUUGUUUUCCGACAAGGAGAAAGAGAGCAAUCAGCCAGCAUUUGGUAUCAAUCUUCCGAUCUGGAGCCAACUGCCUGGAACCCCUUCCUGAUUGCUUACCUAGCCUUGCUCUCGAGUACUCAUCUUCAUCAUUUUAUGCUUUCUCUUCGUCUACCACAUCUGCCUGGGGGACAGUAAGGGAAGUGAAAAUGAUACCUCGAAGCAUGUGGAGACAAUUCAGCUAGGGACAAGGAGAAAGAAAGCAAGAGGUGGGCACUUGGAAAGAUUGAAGAAAGAAAUAAGGACCAACACCUUUCCCUCGUGCCUGCCCGUUGUGCAGAAGAAACAAGCAGAGAAGAAUGCAGCUUGCACAAUCAUCCCAGCGGAAGGAGUCCGAACUGAAGAACUAGAGAGGCUGCCACAUCUGCUUGGAGAACAAAUAAGGAACUGCAACUUAACCAAAGAGCAAAGCCUUGUAGUACAAUAGCAUAAAAUCAUCACUUGCAAGUGAAAAGCUAAGUGUCACCCUGUUCAAGAGGAAAGCUGUGGAAAGUCAACAAGCACGACCAAUGAUUACUUAUUAGUUUUAUUCAUUAUCUUUUAUCGUAAUUUUCAAUUUUUCGUUUGCAAUUUUUUUUAAUUAAUUUUCUUGCGUUACUUAACUGAAUUAUUUCUUUUCUUUGCAGGAACUUUUGGUUAUUUCCACCCUUGAAGUUGAUUGCAGAAUUUUAGCUUGAGGGUCAUCGCUUGAUUUUACUGCAAAUUAGGGAAGUUUUCAGUCCCAUUGUUUUAUUUUGUUUCUUAUUAUUUAUUUAUUUAUUUUAUUUUUAUUUGCGUUAUAGUGUUUUCUGACAUUGGGGACAAUGUCAAGUUUAAGUGUGGGGGUAGAAAUCUCUAGAAUUUCAUUUGUUUCUGUGUUGUUAGUUUUUGUUUUCUUAAAAAAAAAAAAAAAAAAAAAAAAAAAAAAUCGGAAAAUUUAAAAAAAAUCCAAAAAUAUUGUCUUGUUUCCCUUAUUGUUUUGAAUUAGAUUUUUUGUUAGUUUCCCUACCCAAUGAUAUAAUUGGAUCAAAUUUGAACCAUGAUCAUCAAGAACUUAGUUAACAUGUGUUUUGUGAAAUUCCUAAUUCUCUUGUUAGUUUUGUACAUGUUUGACCAUCUUUGAAAAACCAAAUGCACAUAGCCUUGUUGAUGUGAAACUAAAGUAUGAAUUAAAGCUUCAUAUGUGAAUUUAGUGACCAUAUAUAAUUCCUAUGUGAGUUUUUGAGCCUAUUGAAAGUGUGCAUUUUUCAUACACUCCUAUUCUUUCAUGUGUGAUGAACUUAUGUGAGAUACAUCUCUAGAACUUGCGUAACGAUCUUUCGAAAUGUUUGUCAUUGAUUGCAUGAACUUGGAAAUGAUAGAGGCAUUAGGUUUACCACUAUGGCCCAAAUAACCAUGUUUCCCAAAGAAAAAUGAUAUCAUUAGAUUGCCAAUUUGAGCCAUGUAUGUUGAGCCUUUUAUUUCUUAUCACCAGAUAUGUCUACCCUUAUACCUGAAACAUUUUUCCUUACCCUUUCCAAGCGAGCAAUGCGAGAUUGUCUUAUGAGAAACGUUUGUGAAGUACUGUGAAGAUGUUUAGCAAAAGAUUAAGUGUGGGGGUAUUUCAUGUUUGUAAUAAAAAAAAAAAAAAAAAAAGAGAAGAAAAGAAAAAGAAAAAGAAAAAUUGUACACAAAGAAAAUAAAAAGUUGUUCAAGUUUCAGUUUAAGGGUAUGGUUGGAGGUGCUAGAAGAAUCGCUGGAAAAAUUGAGUUCUUAUAAAUCUAAACAAAAGAAUUGCUUGCAAUAUAGCUUGGAACUUGUGUUUUCCUAUUCUUUCAUUUCAAUAACCCUAUCCCUAAGCCUCAUUACAUCCAAUAAAAGUCCUUUUGAUUUAAGUUUUGCAAUUAUGACUGUGGAGAAGUGAUCUUUAUGCAAGCUUAUGGUAGAAAUUUCACAUUUGUUUCUUUGAGCGAAACACAUUAAAACUAAACACAUGUGUGUUUGAGUGCAUAUCCCGUGAGAAGGUCACUAGUUUGCAUAUGAUGAUUUUAAAAAUAAAAACUUGAAAUUGCAUUAGUAUGGCUAUCUCAUACACUACACUUCAAGGAUGAUUCAAAGAUUACUGCUAAUAUUUGAAUAAGGAAGAUGAACUUGGAUUAGUUCCUUGAUGCUAGCUAUGGUUCUUGAUGAUUUGUUUUCUUAAAUGAAAUUCUAUGAGGGUCAGAUAGGGAGAAACUAAUGUUUUUCUUGUUACUUCUUGUUCUUGUUUUCUUUGUUUUGCUCGAGGACUAGCAAAAGUUAAGUGUGGGGGUAUUUGAUCGGAUGAUAUUUAUAUAUAUUUUACUUCAAAUUCACUCGUCUUUUCUUAGUUAGUUCCUUAUAUUUUUGAGUUAUUUACGUUAUUUUUGUGUUUAUAGGAUUUGUUAUGCAAAGAAAAUAAAAAUAGAACAAGUGAAAUUUUAUGUAAUAAAUUCGUCAAAACUGUCUGUGUAGAUCAGCUUUUAAAUUAAAUUAAAAAAAAAUAUAAUAAUGAUAAGUCAUGAUGAUGUUUGAAACAUCAUCAUGAUGGUUUUGUUUUGUAGAAGAAAAGAAAGGAACAAACGGCAAAGAAGAAAAGAAAGAAGGAAUAAAGAAGAAAAGAAUAAAAAAAUAAACAAAAGAUUGAAGAAAGGCAUAAAAGCAAGAAAAGAAGAAUAAGAAGAAGUGGAUGGUGCACUGGCGGGGGGAGACUGACAGAAAAGAAAAGAAUAAGCAGAAACCUAGUGGGGGAAGCUUAGCUGCCCUUGCAGCCUUGAAAAACGAAAAGCAGAAAAUAAAAGGGAAGUCAGUACGGGACAGCAAAGGCAGGUGGGAGAAGAAAGGCUGCCCUUGGCAGCGUGAUAAAGGCAGGAGGGCAGGCUGUCGAGGGGGGAGCGGAAAAGACGGAAGAAAAAUAAAGAAGCAGCUGAGCUGCCUUGCGGUGUGGAGACUGGGAGGAGAAAAGAGAAAAGCAGCAAGGCUGCCAGAAGGAAAGGAGAAGAUGCGGGGAGAGAGUAGCAUGUGAAAAGAAGAGGACAGGGCGCCAGGGAGCAUGUGAGAGGACAGCAGUGGGCUGUCUUGGCAGCCCAGAGGAGUGACUCGGAAGGAGAAAACGUGAGCUGGAGAAGGGGUCAGGAGGAGAAUAAAAGGAGAAGUGGGAGGCUGCUUUGAGGGGGAAUUGGUGGAAGGCAGAGGGCUGCCCUUUGGGCAGCGUGAAGCUGCGGAGAGAAGGGAAGGGGGAAGCUGCCCUUUGGCAGCGAGGUCAGAUAGCGCAGGAAAAGAGAGGUCAGGAGGUCAGCUCGCAGAGGCAGGAGAGGAGAUAGACACGGGGAGAAGGGAGACUGACGGGCACAGUGAGAAGAAAAUUAGAGGCUUCACUCCAUUUCUCUCGGUUUAAUUUUUCCAAACUUCUCAUUUAUUUCUGUUUUUAAUAAUGUGUAAUUAAAUUUAUGUUGGUUAGAGGUUAAUUCGAAACCAUGAUUAUAUUUGUAAUAUGAAUUGAUUACCUUCAGUUGUGAGUUAUAAGUUGUGAAUUCAAUUUACUUAUCCGUUCGUAUAAAAACUGAUUUGUGUAUGUU
rnacentral:lncRNA from 1 species